rfam:Ciona savignyi cont_1065, whole genome shotgun sequence.
UAAACGGCUCUUUUUUAGAGCCACCCAUUUAUUUCAAAGAGGUACGU